rnacentral:rRNA from 1 species
CUACGGGUUGCUGCAGACGAGAAUCUUCCGCAAUGGACGAAAGUCUGACGGAGCGACGCCGCGUGCGGGAUGAAGGCCUUCGGGCUGUAAACCGCUGUCAGUGGGGAGGAAAUGCAUCAGGGUUCUCCCUGGUGUUUGACCGAUCCGCAGAGGAAGCGCAGGCUAAGUUCGUGCCAGCAGCCGCGGUGACACGAACUGCGCGAACGUUAUUCGGAAUCACUGGGCUUAAAGAGUUCGUAGGCGGCCUUUCAAGUCGGGUGUGAAAUCCCUCGGCUCAACCGAGGAAUUGCGCCUGAUACUGUGGGGCUUGAGGGGGAUAGGGGUGAGCGGAACUGAUGGUGGAGCGGUGAAAUGCGUUGAUAUCAUCAGGAACACCGGUGGCGAAGGCGGCUCACUGGAUCUCUUCUGACGCUGUGGAACGAAAGCUAGGGGAGCGAACGGGAUUAGAUACCCUUGUAGUC